rnacentral:rRNA from 1 species
UGAGCGACCUACCUAAUUGUGGGGGAUAGCCGGCCCAACGGCCGGGUAAUACCGCGUACGACCACAUGGGGACAUCCCUGAGUGGUGAAAGCAGCAAUGCGCCGAUGGAGUGCCUCGCGGCCUAUCAGCUAGUUGGUGAGGUAACGGCUCACCAAGGCGACGACGGGUAGCUGGU